GCAGACGUGACCGAAUGGUUAAGGCGUCAGACUGGUAAUCUCAUGGGCAAUGUCCACGCAGGUUCGGAUCUUGCCGGCUGCG
rnacentral:tRNA from 1 species